GUGGUCCCACCUGACCCCAUGCCGAACUCAGAAGUGAAACGCCGUAGCGCCGAUGGUAGUGUGGGGUCUCCCCAUGUGAGAGUAGGGAACCGCCAGGU
rnacentral:rRNA from 2 species